UAAGGAAUAUUGGUCAAUGGACGCAAGUCUGAACCAGCCAUGCCGCGUGGAGGAUGAAGGUCCUCUGGAUUGUAAACUUCUUUUAUAUGGGACGAAAAAAGGCUUUUCUAAGUCGUCUGACGGUACCAUAUGAAUAAGCACCGGCUAACUCCGUGCCAGCAGCCGCGGUAAUACGGAGGGUGCAAGCGUUAUCCGGAUUCACUGGGUUUAAAGGGUGCGUAGGUGGGUUGGUAAGUCAGUGGUGAAAUCCCCGAGCUUAACUUGGGAACUGCCAUUGAUACUAUCAGUCUUGAAUACCGUGGAGGUUAGCGGAAUAUGUCAUGUAGCGGUGAAAUGCUUAGAUAUGACAUAGAACACCAAUUGCGAAGGCAGCUGGCUACACGAAUAUUGACACUGAGGCACGAAAGCGUGGGGAUCAAACAG
rnacentral:rRNA from 1 species